rnacentral:piRNA from 1 species
UUGGAAGUGUCAGUACACAAUGAAGGGAG